rnacentral:lncRNA from 1 species
UGAUUGCGAUUGCGUCUUCUGUGGACCUAUUGGGGCGGUAAGCAAAUUGGAUUGGGUCUAGGGUGUCAGGUAGGGGGGAGGUGAUAUGGUCCUUGACUAGUCUCUCAAAGCACUUCAUGAUGACGGAAGUGAGUGCUCCGGGGCGAUAGUAAUUUAGCUCAGUUACCUUCGCUUUCUUGGGAACAGGAACAAUGGUGGCCCUCUUUCAAUAUGUGGGAACAGCAGACUGGGAUAAGGAUUGAUUGAAUAUGUCCGUAAACACACCAGCCAGCUGAUCUGCGCAUGCUCUGAGGACGCGGCUGGUGAUGCCAUCUGGGCCGGCAGCCUUGCGAGGGUUAACACGUUUAAAGGUUUUACUCACGUUGGCUGCAGUGAAGGAGAGCCCGCAGGUUUUGGUAGCGGGCCGUGUCAGUGGCACUGUAUUGUCCUCAAAGCGAGCAAAGAAGUUGUUUAGUUUGUCUGGGAGCAAGACAUCAUGGUCUGCGACGGGGCUGGUUUUCCUUUUAUAGUCUGUGAUUGACUGUAGACCCUGCCACAUACCUCUCGUGUCUGAGCCAUUGAAUUAUGACUCUACUUUGUCUCUAUACUGACGCUUAGCUUGUUUGAUUGCCUUGCGGAGGGAAUAGCUACACUGUUUGUAUUCGGUCAUGUUUCCGGUCGCCUUGCCAUGAUUAAAAGCAGUGGUUCGUGCUUUCAGUUUUGCGCGAAUGCUGCCAUUAAUCCACGGUUUCUGGUUGGGGAAUGUUUUAAUAGACGCUGUGGGUACAACAUCACCGAUGCACUUGCUAAUAAACUCGCUCACUGAAUCAGCGUAUUCAUCAAUGUUAUUGUCCGACCCUAUGCGGAACAUAUCCCAGGUCCACGUGAUCGAAGCAAUCUUGAGGCGUGGAAUCCGAUUGGUCGGACCAGCGUUGAACAGACCUGAGCACGGGCGCUUCCUGUUUUAGUUUCUGUCUAUAGGCUGGGAGCAACAAAAUGGAGUCGUGGUCAGAUUUUCCGAAAGGAGGGCGGGGGAGGGCUUUAUAUGCAUCGCGGAAGUUAGAAUAACAAUGAUCCAGGGUUUUGCCAGCCCGGGUCGUGCAUUCAGAUUAGCCUUGUUAAAAUCCCCAGCUACAAUAAAUGCAGCCUCAGGAUAUGUGGUUUCCAGUUUACAUAGAGUCAAAUGAAGUUCUUUCAGGGCUGUCGAUGUGUCUGCUUGGGUGGACCUUGCCAUCAUCUUGACUAUAUUUCAUUUAUGUUUUCAUGGAAAACAAGGACAUUUCUAAGUGACCCCAAACUUUUGAAAGGUAGUGUAUAUACAGUACCAGUCAAUAUUUUUAACACAACUACUCAUUCAAGGGUUUUUCUUUAUUUUUACUAUUUUCUAAAUUGUAUGAAAUAACACUUAUGGAUUUAGGUAGUAACCAAAAAAGUGUUAAACAAAUCAAAAUAUAUUUUAUAAUUCAGAUUCUUCAAAGUAGCCAUAUUUUACCUUGAUGACAGCAUUGCACACUGUUGGUAUUCUCUCAACCAGCUUCUUGAGGUAGUCACCUGGAAUGCAUUUCAAUUAACAUGGUGUGCCUUGUUAAAAGAUCAUUUGUGGAAUUUAUUUCCUUCUUACUGCAUUUGAGCCAAUCAGUUGUGUUGUGACAAGGUAUGGGUGGUAUACAGAAGAUAGCCCUAUUUGGUAAAAGACCAAGUCCAUAUUAUGGCAACAACAGCUCAAAGAAGCAAAGAGAAAUGACAGUCCUUAAUAUAAGACAUGAAGGUCAGUCAGUACGGAAAAGUUCAAAAACGUUGAACGUUUCUUCAAGUGCAGUCGCAAAAAGCAUCAAGCGUUAUGAUGAAACUGGCUCUCAUGAGGACCGCCACAGAAAAGGAAGACCCAGAGUUACCUCUGCUGCAGAGGAUAAGUUCAUUAGAGUUAAUUGCACCUCAGAUUGCAGCCCAAAUAAAUGCUUCACAGAGUUCAAGUAACAGACACAUCUCAACAUCAACUGUUCAGAGGAGACUGCGUGAAUCAGGCCUUCAUGGUUGAUUGCUGCAACAACAUAAAACUACUAAGGGACACCAAUAAGAAGAGACUUGCUUGGGCCAAGAAACACCAGCAAUGGACAUUAGAUCAGUAGAAAUCUCGCCUUUCGUCUGAUGACUCCAAAUUUGAGAUUUGUUUGAUAAUCUAUGUUUUUUGAAAACGGUAUUGUUCAGAUGAAUUUGAUUAAUUCCAGGGAUGCACAACAUCCUGAAAUAUAUGUAGGUAUCUUUGUUAGAAAUAAUACUAUAGAAUACUAGUGAUGCUGAAUCCACAAAAUGUCUCAACUUACUCCACUCUGUUUUAUGACAGCUACUUAGAGAAAAAUUCUAGCAAUAUGGUCCACAUCCAUUCAACUGUGAACUCACUCAAGUGACACUCAAUAGCAGUGUUCUUUGGCUCGGGAUCUAUUGAAACAUUAGCUAAAGUUAGCACAGCCUUUUCUUUCUGUUGGCAGUGUGUUUGGUGGUACAUCAUAAACCAAAGUGUCCCCUCUUGGCCCAUAUCCCAGAUGUCACAUAACUUUUUACGUAAUUAAUUCUCAUCCAAGUGUGUGUGUGUGUGUGUCCAUGCGUGCAUGUGGUGCGUUGCAUGUAUGCAUGCACACACACACGUCCUAUGCCCUCUUCCCUUCAGUUUCAAACCUAUUUUAUCAGUAUCUUUGACAGACUUUAAUAUUUUAUUAACUUCCAUUAAAAUGUACCAUGCAGCAUUAAUUAGGAAGAGAAACAAACUCCAUUAAUAUUGAAGUUGUUUGUACAGAGAUAUCUCCCACCAAAAACCCAAACUCCCUUCAGUGUAAAUGUGCUGGGUUGUCUGCCUUUGACGAAGCACGAGAACAUGGUGUGACUAUCACUGGCUUUGGAGAAACUCUGUGAUCCUAGUUCAUACUCCAUUAAAGCUCUCUUCUUUGAGUCAGACAAGGUUACUCGCUCGCAGAAACUUAGCUAACAUACAUCACAACCUCUCGCAGUAGAACUCUAAAGGAGUGAAGAUCAAACAAAAUGGUGUGACAGAAGUGGAGAGACUUUUAGAAUCUACAGCAAGAAGAGUUGUUGUUUUUUCUCUCCACAGAGUUUAAUGCACUGGUAGCUUUGCUAAAAGUUUGACUGCCAAAAGUUUAAGGCUAACUGCUCCCAUAAGGGAUUUCUGAACUUAAGAAUGGGCAUAGUGUCACACAUGCACGUACACACAUCAGAUACUCACAGACACAUUUUAAAUGCACAUUUAAAUCAACACAUUUAAAGACAGAUACAGAAGUCAACUGUUGAGAAGAAAACAACAAGACAAAUUGUCCCAGCCGAGGCAUCGCUACUUAGAUGUUGCUAGUACAAUUAGGAUAUACUUCGUCUUCACUAAGAUUAAUAAUAGUUGCAGUGUGAACUUUAUUAGCAGCUAAUACGGGACCAUUACCCUGAAUUGCCGAUAAACAGGAAGAAGCUCCAAAUGGAAUGAAGCAACUAUUUGUCAUUACUACUGUAAACUCAAAUAUCAUCCAAUGAUUAUCCAUUACCGCUGGGUCAUGACAGAGCCACCAGUGGGUAAAUAUGGCAAGCAGGGAAAGAACCGUUCUUUAGAAUGAAGGAUUUUGGAAAGUCUGGGGAAUUGUUUUUUAUUUGUCUUCCUGGCACUCCAGAAUUACGUGCGAGAGGGACUUCAAAGUUCAUGAUGACACUGGUAACUUGUCCUCUUUUGUCUGUGUGUGAGUGUGUGCGUGUGCGUGCCUGCGUAUUUGCAGGGAGAGUUAACAGUCAGUACAGCUCAGGCCUUGGACCUCAGUGACAUGGCUUAGACUCAAGGGAGAAACAACACUAAGUACAGGCAGAUAGAUACAGUACCUGCAAAUAGAGUUUCGCUCCUCAGGUGUUGACGCCAAGUUGUCAGAUGACAUGGUGUACAAUGUGAUAGUGGACGUCCUCAGCAACCUGACACUGGUAGCGCAGCAGAUGAGGGCCUGGUAGUGAUGUCUGCUGAGCUGGAGGAGGUGGUGAACAGCAUUCUGAAAGGCAGUGCCCCUGGCAUGUGGAAGAAGAAGUCCUACCACAGCCUCAAACCCCUGAGCAGCUACGUCAAUGACUUCCUAGAUAGGCUCAAGUUCCUACAGGAACAUGCUCCGGGCAUAGUGUCCCCUAGGACUGGUACGAUGACGGGAUGCUGGCGGUCUUCUGGAUGUCAGGCUUCUUUUUCACCCAGGGCUUCCUGACGGGUGGCCAGCAGAACUGCUCCAGCAAACACACUAUCCCAUCGACCUGCUGGGCUUCGACAUUGAGCUGCUGCAUGACUGUCAGUGUCCGUGUAUAGGUGAUGAGGAAAGGAGUCAAUCGCAGGACACCGAACUGAGUAAAAAUUAAGUAUUUUACUCAAAUAAAAAUUCAGUAUACAAAAUCCACGCAAGGGAAAACAAGAACUACAAACACAACGAACAAUACCUACAGUAAAACACUAACGCAAAAAACAUCAUGAUGACCAGAGGGUUUAAAUAGGGAAGUAAUCAUAACCAAAUGGGAACCAGGUGUGAACAAUCAAGACAUAACCAAUCGACAAAGAAACAUGGAUCGGUGGCAGCUAGAAAGCCGGUGACGAUGACUGCCGAACGCCGCCCGAACAAAGAGAGGCACCAACUUCAGCGGAAGUCGUGACAAUGACAAAGAGUACCGCCAGCCCCCCAAAGAUGGUGAGACAGACAGAGGGGGGAGGGAAGGAAGAAUGGGUGAGAGAGGGGAGGAAGAAGUAAAGGGGUGAAGUGGAAAAAGAGAUGAAGGAUGAGAUUUCUCAUGAUUAAUCAGGAAUUCUGCUUUUCUGACACAAUCCUCCAACUGACCUAUUCCCUAGCCAAAAUCCUGAUUUUUAAUGGUAUCUUGAACACAGGUUCCCACCGUGAAGCAUGGAGGUGUGAUGGUGUGGGGGUGCUUUGCUGGUGACACUGUCUGUGAUUUAUUUAGAAUUCAAGGCACACUUAACCAGUACGGCUACCACAGCAUUCUGGUUUGCGCUUAGUGGGACUAUCAUUUGUUUUUCAACAGGACAAUGACCCAACACACCUCCAUUCUAUGUAAGGGCUAUUUGAUCAAGAUAGAGAGGGAUGGAGUGCUGCAUCAGAUGACCUGGCCUCCACAAUCACCCGACCUCAACCCAAUUGAGAUGGUUUGGGAUGAGUUGGACCGCAGAGUGAAGGAAAAGCAGCCAACAAGUGCUCAGCAUAUGUGGGAAGUCCUUCAAGACUGUUUCAAAAACAUUCCAGGUGAAGCUGGUUGAGAGAAUUCCAAGAGUGUGCAAAGCUGUCAUCAAGGCAAAGGGUGGCUACUUUGAAGAAUCUCAAAUAUAAAAUAUUUAUUUAAGACGUUUUUUGGCUACUACAUGACUCCAUAUGUGUUAUUUCAUAGUUUUGAUGUCUUCACUAUUAUUCUACAAUGUAGAAAAUAGUAAAAAUAAAGAAAAACCCUUGAAUGAGUAGGUAUGUCCAAACGUUUGACUGGUACUGUAUAUAUAUAACCGUCCUGUGUUCAG